rnacentral:lncRNA from 1 species
UUUCGACUGAAUUUUAACUUUUUUAUUGUGCGGUUGGGGGAGAGUAGGAGGGUGUCCUAUAUUUUAGUGCUUUAAAAUAGUAUCUUUACCAAUGAAUAUGGGAUCAACGCAUACCAAAACCAACUGUACCUACAUAUAUGAUAAUACGCAGAGAUAUUUGUCCAUAGUUUUGCAUGAUUAGCAUUCAUCAUAUAGCAUUACCUUAGAUUUUUGGAAAUAUUCACGAAGAAAAUACUGAAAUAAAAAAAUAUAUUCUAAUAGAGAAACUUAUGGUUGUACCAGCUGAACAUAUUUGGUGUUGCUGUUGAUAGUUCAAUAAACCAUUUGACACAAACACUAACCAAAAGAACAUCUCAAUGGUCGCCAUCAGGUACAUGAUGUCAUUAGAAGUAUAUUUUCUUAGGUUACAAAAUCAACUAACUAGCAGUUGACAGAAUUAGAUACUCGAAGUAUUGAGAACGACAUUAAUAAAUAAAGGAACGCGUUAUGCAUGGAUGUGGAUGUGAAGGGGAGAGGUGAGUGAGAGAAAGCGAGGGCUUCUUGUGCAUAACAAUGUGACUGAUAAGGCUUGAACCUCUCUACAUUCCAGGCUAUGCUGUUCUUGUCAAUUAUGUCAUCUUUUCCAACACCGACCUAACUACAUGGUCGACAACCAUGGCCUUGGCUUGGAAAAUGAAACACUUUGUCAACAAAUAUGAAUACCAAGCAACUGAUAAAGCUAUUGAUAUUAGCCUUCUUUAUCACUAUGGACAAAGCUUGCAUUGAGCCCAUAAUUAGCUACAAUAAAUAAUAAAACAGAAGCUGAGACAAAGGUCAUCAUGUGGUAACAAGUAAUCAAAAGUAAAGGGAUGUUACAGGUAAAACCUGACAAUAAUACCAUAAUCAACGAAUAGAAAGUCUUUCAAAUUGAAACUACGUUCAAGCUUAGCCACCACAGCUUGGCAAUCCUAAAAUAGACAUAAAUUUAGAUAAUAGUAGUUCUCACUAUACUAAUUCAUCACCUAAUAUAUAAUCAAUACUUCCUAUAGCUUACUAGUUGAGCGUGAAAGGGGAAAGCAAAACGAAAUUAAAUUACUUUACAUAAUAAUUAUACAAAAUGGCUACAUUUUGAGCAAAAGGGAGAAAAAUACUAGCAACCCUUCCAUUUCUGAUGAAACAGAUAUACCAUAACAGAAUAAUUGACAUUCCUUCCCCUUUUCACCAUCCAACUGAACUUUUUUUAAGAAAAAAAUAUCUCAAGUUAAAAAUCCAUGAGUAACAAAUAAUUUUUGUCCGUGGUUUUUUUCUCCUCCUUGCCCAUUGUUUUUUCCGUCUUGGAUUUUCACGUAAAUUUUGUGUUCAUGUUAUCAUUUUAUAUUGUCAAUUCUCACUUUUUCGUAAUAUGUAAUCUGAACAAAAAAAAAAAUUUAGGCUUGUAAAAUAUGUGGUCCUGGUGAAGUUUGUGGUGAACAAAUAUAAUAUGAAUGUGAAAAACCAAGUGAAAUCAAGCCAAAAAGCAGCUGGAUGAACUAUGUAAAUGUAUUACUCAUAUGAUUAUGGUUAGUAGAUAUAUAGUAUGCUACAAAUGCCAAGAUAUACAAUUACUAAAUUCCAAGGUUAUUUUCACUUAAAUUCAACUUAUACAGUGAAUAAUUAUUUAUACUCAACAACUUCUAUAGCAUUAGAGAAAAAAAAAAGAGAUAUCUAGGAACUAGCUAUUUGAUCAAUAAAAAUAGAG